UACAGGGGGUGCAAACGUUGCUCGGAAUUAUUGGGCGUAAAGCGCGCGUAGGCGGUGACUCAAGUCGGAUGUGAAAGCCCUCGGCUUAACUGAGGAAGUGCAUCCGAAACUGGCAGGCUAGAGUACCAAAGAGGGUCGCGGAAUUCCCGGUGUAGAGGUGAAAUUCGUAGAUAUCGGGAGGAACACCCGUGGCGAAGGCGGCUCUCUGGGACGGUACUGACGCUGAGACGCGAAAGCGUGGGGAGCGAACAGG
rnacentral:rRNA from 1 species